GCAGAGGGGAGCCCAGCAGCUCGGCCUCCCCAGGCGCACAGCACAGGGCACUGCGGUGACCCAGGAAGCAGGCCCCUCCUCUUCUCUCCCAGUGCUGCCUUCUUCUGAGGAGCCCACCUCUGGCUGAGCCACACCUGGGGGUCCCGGUCACUUCCCAGUUAGUGUGUUCUCUAAGCCACAGAGGGCACGGGUCAGGCUUCCUCCCAGGCGCCACCAGGGGGACCCAGCCCUGUGAAAGGUGGGCACAGCCAGGUCAGUCAGCAACAGGUGAGACGUGCAGCACCAGUGCCCGCUCUGCACCCCUCAGAGACACAGGUCCCCUGUCUGAGACUCAGGCCUGGAUAGCGAGGGCGGAGGGCAGAUCUCCCCAACCCCGCAGCAGUGACCCCGGUCACAGCGUAACCUCCUGGAGCCACAGAAGCCAGGGCUCAGAAUCCAAAGCCAGCUAGAAGUUGCCCACAUCUGGACUCUCCCUUUAGCGCACACAGCUGGCCCGGGGUCAGCGGGAGGUGCUGCCUUACCGCAGCCAUCUGUAGGAUUGGACAAGUUUCUUCUCUCUCCUCUGCUUCCUCUUGGCUAAAUUGGGGCCAUUGAAAUUCCCAGCGAGAGGAUUCUGGAAGAUGAGUGGAGGAUUCUGGAAGAUAAGGCCCCCACAGGAGUGAGUCACACCCAGGCCCAUCAUUCGUGCGGGACAGACGCUCUGUUUUGUGUGUGUGGUGCUGGGUUUGGACCCUCCCACCGCCUCCCUCCUGCCAGGAGAGCCCUGUACCACUGAGCCGCGCCACGAAUCCCAACACUGGCUUUUCACAAAUGAAAUCUCUCUCUUUUCUCCCCAGAUCCAUCCCCCGUCGGCAAGGGCUUGUUGCAUCCGCCAUGGGUCAGCCCCAGGAGGCGGCUUUGAGGGUGGCCACCCCUGCCUCUCCUCCCUCUCCCCCCCUACUGUGUGAGCGGCCCAGUUGGUGCCACUGUGAGGGCAGCCCCGGGCAUGAGCAGGCACAGACCAGGUGUGGCCUGGUGGUGGGGCGACUGCUCUGAGCUCAGGCAUUCCG
rnacentral:lncRNA from 1 species